AGAGUUUGAUCAUGGCUCAGAGCGAACGCUGGCGGCAGGCUUAACACAUGCAAGUCGAGCGGGCAUAGCAAUAUGUCAGCGGCAGACGGGUGAGUAACGCGUGGGAACAUACCUUUUGGUUCGGAACAACACAGGGAAACUUGUGCUAAUACCGGAUAAGCCCUUACGGGGAAAGAUUUAUCGCCGAAAGAUUGGCCCGCGUCUGAUUAGCUAGUUGGUGAGGUAACGGCUCACCAAGGCGACGAUCAGUAGCUGGUCUGAGAGGAUGAUCAGCCACAUUGGGACUGAGACACGGCCCAAACUCCUACGGGAGGCAGCAGUGGGGAAUAUUGGACAAUGGGCGCAAGCCUGAUCCAGCCAUGCCGCGUGAGUGAUGAAGGCCCUAGGGUUGUAAAGCUCUUCUGUGCGGGAAGAUAAUGACGGUACCGCAAGAAUAAGCCCCGGCUAACUUCGUGCCAGCAGCCGCGGUGAUACGAAGGGGGCUAGCGUUGCUCGGAAUCACUGGGCGUAAAGGGUGCGUAGGCGGGUCUUUAAGUCAGGGGUGAAAUCCUGGAGCUCAACUCCAGAACUGCCUUUGAUACUGAGGAUCUUGAGUUCGGGAGAGGUGAGUGGAACUGCGAGUGUAGAGGUGAAAUUCGUAGAUAUUCGCAAGAACACCAGUGGCGAAGGCGGCUCACUGGCCCGAUACUGACGCUGAGGCACGAAAGCGUGGGAGCAAACAGGAUUAGAUACCCUGGUAGUCCACGCCGUAAACGAUGAAUGCCAGCCGUUAGUGGGUUUACUCACUAGUGGCGCAGCUAACGCUUUAAGCAUUCCGCCUGGGGAGUACGGUCGCAAGAUUAAAACUCAAAGGAAUUGACGGGGGCCCGCACAAGCGGUGGAGCAUGUGGUUUAAUUCGACGCAACGCGCAGAACCUUACCAGCCCUUGACAUCCCGGUCGCGGACUCCAGAGACGGAGUCCUUCAGUUCGGCUGGACCGGAGACAGGUGCUGCAUGGCUGUCGUCAGCUCGUGUCGUGAGAUGUUGGGUUAAGUCCCGCAACGAGCGCAACCCCCGUCCUUAGUUGCUACCAUUUAGUUGAGCACUCUAAGGAGACUGCCGGUGAUAAGCCGCGAGGAAGGUGGGGAUGACGUCAAGUCCUCAUGGCCCUUACGGGCUGGGCUACACACGUGCUACAAUGGCGGUGACAAUGGGACGCUAAGGGGCAACCCUUCGCAAAUCUCAAAAAGCCGUCUCAGUUCGGAUUGGGCUCUGCAACUCGAGCCCAUGAAGUUGGAAUCGCUAGUAAUCGUGGAUCAGCAUGCCACGGUGAAUACGUUCCCGGGCCUUGUACACACCGCCCGUCACACCAUGGGAGUUGGUUUUACCUGAAGACGGUGCGCUAACCCGCAAGGGAGGCAGCCGGCCACGGUAGGGUCAGCGACUGGGGUGAAGUCGUAACAAGGUA
rnacentral:rRNA from 1 species